rnacentral:rRNA from 1 species
UGACAGAAAGUAUGAGCUCCUGAAUGUCCUGGAAUUUAGUAGCUCAUGAAAAUGGAUGUGCCUUUUAGUGAAGGAACCAGAGGGGAGGAUAUAUGUUAAAGAAUUUGAGGAAGAGACUUGAAGUCUGUUUUAUCCAUGUGUACCGGCUAGAAGAUAAUUUGAGGAAGAGAUUAAAAGGCACAUAAAUCAAUAUUCUGAUUCUGGUGUAAGAACGUUGGUUCUUGUAUACCUUGUCUUACAUGAGAAAGAGUAUGCGGUUGAUGACUACUUCAGCACUGCCAAACCAUCUGGACGUGCAGAGGCAGGCUAAUCUAUGGCAUUCUGCCAUUUUAUACAAUCAUGUUUGCUUCAUGCAUGAUCAAUCGACAUCAUUUUUCCCAUAUGAAGUCCCUUUGAAUCAAAGAGGCUCUAUAAAUCUGUGUUUUCUCAAACUUAACUACUCCUUAACUUGUAAUCUGAAAUUAGAGAUUGUGGUGCAUGAUGCUGAAGUUUGACCUUGGCCAUCGGGAAGAAGUUGUGCGGUGUGACAUUAUGAGAAUUGGCAAGCAGACUCCUCUCCAGCUGAGCUUGUCACGAGAUUGUGCUUGCUGGCAUCAAGCUAUGGACUUGCUACAAAAAGAUAUAAUGGUGUGUUUGGUGCUUAUACAAGGCCCUAGAAGAUGAUUAUAUGUACUACUUUAAUUUGUGCUUUGUAUUUUUCUGUAUAUUGCCAAAUGGAUUUAGAGCAUAGCCAUUGCAUUAUAUGGUAGCUGUGUGUGUUCCCUACAUUUUUUUGUAUGUUGAUAAACAUGGAAACACGCUGUUAGAGUGGGUCAGUUUGUAUAUCUGAGUGUCUACACAUGAAUCUUGACUAUAUAUAGCAAUAUGGGC